rnacentral:rRNA from 1 species
GACGAACGCUGGCGGCGUGCUUAACACAUGCAAGUCGAACGGUGAUCUUGAGAGCUUGCUCUUGGGUGAUCAGUGGCGAACGGGUGAGUAACACGUGAGUAACCUGCCCCUGACUCUGGAAUAACUUCGGGAAACCGAAGCUAAUACCGGAUAUGACACAGAGCCGCAUGGUUUCUGUGUGGAAAGUUUUUCGGUUGGGGAUGGACUCGCGGCCUAUCAGCUUGUUGGUGAGGUAAUGGCUCACCAAGGCGACGACGGGUAGCCGGCCCGAGAGGGCGACCGGCCACACUGGGACUGAGACACGGCCCAGACUCCUACGGGAGGCAGCAGUGGGGAAUAUUGCACAAUGGGCGAAAGCCUGAUGCAGCGACGCCGCGUGAGGGAUGAAGGCCUUCGGGUUGUAAACCUCUUUCAGUAGGGAAGAAGCGCAAGUGACGGUACCUACAGAAGAAGCACCGGCUAACUACGUGCCAGCAGCCGCCGCCGUAA